rnacentral:tRNA from 1 species
GGGUCCGUAGCUCAGUCUGGAUAGAGCGACAGCCUUCUAAGCUGUAGGUCGCGGGUUCGAAUCCUGUCGGACCCG